UGGGGAAUAUUGGACAAUGGGGGGAACCCUGAUCCAGCCAUGCCGCGUGUGUGAAGAAGGUCUUCGGAUUGUAAAGCACUUUAAGUUGGGAGGAAGGGCAGUAAGCGAAUACCUUGCUGUUUUGACGUUACCGACAGAAUAAGCACCGGCUAACUCUGUGCCAGCAGCCGCGGUAAUACAGAGGGUGCAAGCGUUAAUCGGAAUUACUGGGCGUAAAGCGCGCGUAGGUGGUUCGUUAAGUUGAAUGUGAAAGCACCGGGCUCAACCUGGGAACUGCAUCCAAAACUGGCGAGCUAGAGUAGGGCAGAGGGUGGUGGAAUUUCCUGUGUAGCGGUGAAAUGCGUAGAUAUAGGAAGGAACACCAGUGGCGAAGGCGACCACCUGGGCUCAUACUGACACUGAGGUGCGAAAGCGUGGGGAGCAAACAGG
rnacentral:rRNA from 1 species